ensembl:lncRNA
AGAGCGGGGAGCUUUCGCUCUGAAAAAGCAAAUGAGAAGAAACAGCAGAAAGAACACAGCCUGCAUGAGGGCUGCAGCCAUGGGGUCGGUUUGACACGAAGGGCUGCAGCAUCCUUAGCACCGCAGUAUGGGGAUGCUGAGUCCUGGAAGCCAAACUGUGCACCCUGCAUCCCUCUUGGGAUCCCCAUUGGGGCAGCUUUGGGAGGACUGAGUCUGCAGCACCGGGUUUUGCCGUGAGCUUUGUGGGAGGAGAAGGGAAAACAAUGGUUUUCCCAACGGGCUGCUUUAAGGAAGCCUCAGGAACCCCUCCCUACACCAGGAAGGGCCGGGACCUCCUCAUUCCCUUCACUUUUCCUUCUUCCGUGUUUGUGCUCCAAUAUUCAUGGGGUUGAAAUCGUUUUCUCCCGGCCGUUCGCGCAGCUGAAACUUUUACAUUCCUCUGCAAUAGGUUACACAUAAAAGCAAACCCUCAAGAGGGAUGGCUGCCUGGCAUUUGCUGACACCACUCCUUGCUGUUCCAGGUGCACGCAGGCAGCACCUGAAUUCCUGUGACUGCUGGAGAAGGUGCCAGAAAAGGUGGGGUUGUUUCUUUUUUUUUUUUUUGUGCAGCUUUCAGGGCUUUCCGAGUGAAAAAGGACACCCCAAAGCCGUCACAUCCACCACAUCCACAGCACGUCAGGCAGAUCUCCGCUGCUCCAUCCCAAGGCUUUGCUUCACGUCCCCCAAGGGCUGCACCCAUCCCUGGGCAUUGGGAUGGAGCUCAGCGCUGCUGACCCCGAGUAGGUGUGGGGCUCUCCGUGCACCACAGGUCUCAUUUCUCAGAGUCCCCACAUUUCCAGCUCUUCAGCCAAGAAUUCGUUAAGGCUUCACGUGUUGGCCACGCUUCAUCGGUGUCUGCUGUGCUUUCUGGUGCCCUGAUGGAGCCAAAAGCUCAACCACAUCCAUCAGCCCCACUGAACCUCUAUAGGGAGGACGGGGAGGUCCGGAUGGAGAUAAGUGACAGUGGUGUCCCUCAGGGGUCAGUGCUGGGACUGACACCGUUCAAUAUCUCCAUCAAUGACGUGGGAAGUGGGACAGCCCCCCAGUGCUCUGAAUGGGAAGGAUAUGGGUUCGAUGGGUGGACCAAGGUCUAAAUAGCAAAGAUAUGGGUUCGAUGGGUGGACCAAGGUCAUACCCAGAGCGUGGUGUGACCAAUGGGUCAGUGGAUGGAGGUUGGUGACGGUGGUGUCCCUCAGGGUGGGUAUAAUGGGGCCGACCACCCUUAAUGUCUUCAUCAUCGACUCUGACAGUGGGAUCAGUGCACCCUCAGCCAUUUCUGGGCGACACCAAGCUGUGUGGUGUGGUGACAUGCCUGGGGAUGGGAUGCCAUCCCAAGAGGACCUCUCACUGUGAGCAGCGGCAGCAGAAGAUGCUUUGGGUGCAAAAAGAAGGGCUGAGGGAAUGGGAUUUGUCCGACCCCAAGAGGAGAACGGCUUUUCGGACCCCCCUGGGGACACUUUGGGGACAGCAGCCAUAGGGGGAGGACAAAGGCAGAGGGAUGGAAGGGUUCGGAGGGGUUCCCAUUGCAUCGAUGGAGAAACCCCACUCCGGGUAGUGCUCCUCGGAGGGGUGCAGGGAAGGGGAGGUGACGUUUGGGUGUCUCAGCACAGAAGGGAAAGGGGCUGCUGCCACCUAGAGCAGGGACCGCUCUGCCUGCAGCCCGCACGCAGCUCGGGGAUAGGAUUGAGCAGCGCAGGGCCGUACCCGUGUGUCCCCUCCCGCUGUCACCUCCCCAUUGUCCCCAACCCCCCCGGUGUCAUCGUGUCCCUCAGCCACACGUGGCCCCAUAGGGACAUCUCCCUGCAUCCCCUUGCCUCCCGUUUCCUCCCAUGUCCCCACAUCCCCUUUGUCCCACGUCCCCCCACGACCCCAUAUCCCCACAGCUGCCAUAUUCCCUGUGCCCCCAUACCCUCACAGCCCCCAUGUCCCUCUUUCUGUCCCAGUGUCCCCCGUGUCCCCGACCCCUCCAUGUCCCCUACACACCCCCACGUCCAAGCACCCUGCACAUCCCCGGUUCCCAUAUCUCCCUCACGUCCUCACAUCCCCCUAUCCCCCAUCAUCCCCUCUGCCCCCCGCACUCCCAUGUCUCCACAACCCCCACUGUGCCCCCUGUAACCCUCAUAUUCCCUUCACGUCCCCAUGGCCCCAUGUCCCCUUUGUCCCCUACACCCCCCCAUCUCCCCAUCACCCCCUGUGACCCCAAUCUCCCCCUCAGGUCCCCACAUCCCCCAUGUCCCUACACCCCCCCAGUGCCCUCAAGCCCUCUGCCACAUCUCCUAUACCCCCUCAUGUUCCACGACCCCCACGUCCCCUCAUCUCCCUCCAUCCUCCACGUCCCCCACGUCCUCUAUGCCCUCCGUGACCCCACGCUCCCUACGCCCCCUGCGACCCCUACACCCCCCACGUGUCCCCCACGCCCCCACGUUCCCAAUCCACCCCUUCAGUCCUCCGGGCCGCAAGGGGGCGCGCAGCAGG